rnacentral:rRNA from 1 species
AACGAACGCUGGCGGCAGGCUUAACACAUGCAAGUCGAGCGCCCCGCAAGGGGAGCGGCAGACGGGUGAGUAACGCGUGGGAACGUACCCUUUGCUACGGAAUAGCUCCGGGAAACUGGAAUUAAUACCGUAUGUGCCCUACGGGGGAAAGAUUUAUCGCCAAAGGAUCGGCCCGCGUUGGAUUAGGUAGUUGGUGGGGUAAUGGCCUACCAAGCCGACGAUCCAUAGCUGGUUUGAGAGGAUGAUCAGCCACACUGGGACUGAGACACGGCCCAGACUCCUACGGGAGGCAGCAGUGGGGAAUCUUAGACAAUGGGGGAAACCCUGAUCUAGCCAUGCCGCGUGAUCGAUGAAGGCCUUAGGGUUGUAAAGAUCUUUCAGUGGGGAAGAUAAUGACUGUACCCACAGAAGAAGCCCCGGCUAACUCCGUGCCAGCCGCCGCUGUAAGAC